rnacentral:tRNA from 2 species
GGGAGUAGAUAGGUGCUGGUGUGCCUACCGGUCUUCAAAACCGUGUUGCCGUGCUAAGACCACGACGGGUGAGUUCGAUUCUCACAUAUUCCCGCCA